CACAUCCCCAUUUACUGCCAGGUGGCUAAGUGACACAAGCCAGGCUGGGAGAAACUGUAGUGAAAACUGGUUCCAUGUGACCAUGGUGCACUGAUAGGAAACUGAAGAUUCGAGGAAGACUCCUCGGGGAAAAAGAAGUGUGAGUCGGGUUAUUAGAGGCUGCCUCUGUGUGAUCCAGUGGCCAAAAUCUGGAGCUGGAUUUUUAAAAAAUAGACUUUAUUCCAAAGAGAGAAAGCAAGGGAGAGACUUGAGAGCUCACUGGCUCUCUAGAAAGUGCAGGAAAAAGCAAUGUAUUGAUAAGAAGCAGAACCCUGCUUCAGAGACUCAGACUCCUGAUCAGAGGAACACCAGUGAUGCGAGAGGUGGGAGUCCUACCCCCAGGACACACUCAUAUACCCCCCCAAAACCUCAAAUCCAGUUGUGAGUCUUGGUGA
rnacentral:lncRNA from 1 species